UCCUCCCUCUGGCGGCGUGCUUAACACAUGCAAGUCGAACGAAGAGCGAUGGAAGCUUGCUUCUAUCAAUCUUAGUGGCGAACGGGUGAGUAACGCGUAAUCAACCUGCCCUUCAGAGGGGGACAACAGUUGGAAACGACUGCUAAUACCGCAUACGAUCUAAUCUCGGCAUCGAGGAUAGAUGAAAGGUGGCCUCUACAUGUAAGCUAUCACUGAAGGAGGGGAUUGCGUCUGAUUAGCUAGUUGGAGGGGUAACGGCCCACCAAGGCGAUGAUCAGUAGCCGGUCUGAGAGGAUGAACGGCCACAUUGGGACUGAGACACGGCCCAGACUCCUACGGGAGGCAGCAGUGGGGAAUCUUCCGCAAUGGACGAAAGUCUGACGGAGCAACGCCGCGUGAGUGAUGACGGCCUUCGGGUUGUAAAGCUCUGUUAAUCGGGACGAAAGGCCUUCUUGCGAAUAGGGAGAAGGAUUGACGGUACCGGAAUAGAAAGCCACGGCUAACUACGUG
rnacentral:rRNA from 1 species